rnacentral:rRNA from 1 species
UACGUAGGGUGCAAGCGUUGUCCGGAAUUAUUGGGCGUAAAGAGCUCGUAGGCGGUCUGUUACGUCGGCUGUGAAAACCUGGGGCUCAACCCCGGGCCUGCAGCCGAUACGGGCAGACUAGAAUUCGGUAGGGGAGACUGGAAUUCCUGGUGUAGCGGUGAAAUGCGCAGAUAUCAGGAGGAACACCGGUGGCGAAGGCGGGUCUCUGGGCCAUAACUGACGCUGAGGAGCGAAAGCGUGGGGAGCGAACAGG